AUUGAACGCUGGCGGCAGGCCUAACACAUGCAAGUCGAACGAGUGGCGGACGGGUGAGUAAUGUCUCGGAACCUGCCUGAUGGAGGGGGAUAACUACUGGAAACGGUAGCUAAUACCGCAUACCAUCAGAUCUGCCCAGAUGGGAUUAGCUAGUUGGUGGGGUAACGGCUCACCAAGGCGACGAUCCCUAGCUGGUCUGAGAGGAUGACCGGCCACACUGGGACGUAGACACGGUCCAGACUCCUACGGGAGGCAGCAGUGGGGAAUAUUGGACAAUGGGCGAAAGCCUGAUGCAGCCAUGCCGCGUGUAUGAAGAAGGCCUUCGGGUUGUAAAGUACUGUCAGCGGGGAGGCGGUACCCGCAGAAGAAGCACCGGCUAACUCCGUGCCAGCAGCCGCGGUAAUUC
rnacentral:rRNA from 1 species